rnacentral:rRNA from 2 species
AUUGCCUCAGUAACGGCGAGUGAAGCGGCAACAGCUCAAAUUUGAAAUCUGGCCCUAGGCCCGAGUUGUAAUUUGCAGAGGAUGCUUUUGGCGAGGUGCCUUCCGAGUUCCCUGGAACGGGACGCCAUAGAGGGUGAGAGCCCCGUCUGGUCGGACACCAAGCCUCUGUAAAGCUCCUUCGACGAGUCGAGUAGUUUGGGAAUGCUGCUCUAAAUGGGAGGUAUAUGUCUUCUAAAGCUAAAUACCGGCCAGAGACCGAUAGCGCACAAGUAGAGUGAUCGAAAGAUGAAAAGCACUUUGGAAAGAGAGUUAAACAGCACGUGAAAUUGUUGAAAGGGAAGCGUUCACGACCAGACUUGGGCCGGUUGAUCAUCCAGCGUUCUCGCUGGUGCACUCUGCCGGCCCAGGCCAGCAUCAGUUCGCCCCGGGGGACAAAGACGGCGGGAAUGUGGCUCCUCCGGGAGUGUUAUAGCCCAUCGUGCAAUACCCUGUGGUGGACUGAGGUUCGCGCUCUGCAAGGAUGCUGGCGUAAUGGUCGUCAACGACCCGUCUUGAAACACGGACCAAGGAGUCGUCUUCGUAUGCGAGUGUUCGGGUGUCAAACCCCUACGCGUAAUGAAAGUGAACGCAGGUGAGAGCUUCGGCGCAUCAUCGACCGAUCCUGAUGUUCUCGGAUGGAUUUGAGUAAGAGCAUACGGGGCCGGACCCGAAAGAAGGUGAACUAUGCCUGUAUAGGGUGAAGCCAGAGGAAACUCUGGUGGAGGCUCGCAGCGGUUCUGACGUGCAAAUCGAUCGUCAAAUAUGGGCAUGGGGGCGAAAGACUAAU